rnacentral:lncRNA from 1 species
AUCCCUGUGUCAGUGCUGGAAUAGUGUGCGUCCCCGUGUCGGUGCUGGAAUAGUGAACGUCCCCGUAUUAGCGCUGGAAUAGUGAGCAUCCCUGUAUCGGUGCUGCAAUAGUGAGCGUCCUCAUGUUGGUGCCCCGUAUCGGUGCUGGAACAGUGAGCGUCCCCGUGUCGGUGCCCCGUGUCGGUGCUGGAAUAGUGAGCGUCCCCGUGUCGGUGCUGGAAUAGUGAGCGUCCCCGUGUCGGUGCCCCGUGUCGGUGCUGGAAUAGUGAGUGUCCCCGUGUCGGUGCUGGAAUAGUGAGCGACCCCGUGUCGGUGCUGGAAUAGUGAGCGUCCCCAUGUCGGUGCCCCGUGUCGGUGCUGGAAUAGUGAGCGUCCCCAUGUCGGUGCCCCUUGUCGGUGCUGCAAUAGUGAGCGUCCCCGUGUCGGUGCUGGUAGAGUGGGCGUCCCCGUAUCGGUGCCCCUUGUCAGUGCUGGAAUAGUGAGCAUCCCCAUGUCGGUGCCCCUUGUCGGUGCUGGAAUAGUGAGCGUCCCCGUGUCGGUGCUGGAAUAGUGAUCGUCCCCGUGUCGGUGCUGAAAUAGUGAACGUCCCCGUGUCGGUGCUGGAAUAGUGAUCGUCCCCGUGUCGGUGCUGAAAUAGUGAACGUCCCCGUGUCGGUGCUGGAAUAGUGAGUGUCCCCGUGUCGGUGCCCCUUGUCGGUGCUGGAAUAGUGAGCGUCCCCGUGUCGGUGCCCCUUGUCGGUGCUGAAAUAGCGAGCGUCCCCACGUCGGUGCUGGAAUAGUGAGCAUCCCCGUGUCGGUGCUGGAAUAGUGAGCGUCCCCAUGUCGGUGCUGGAAUUGUGAACAUCCCCGUGUUGGUGCCCCUUGUCGGUGCUGCAAUAGUGAGCGUCCCCACGUCGGUGCUGGAAUAGUGAGCGUCCCCGUGUCGGUGCUGGAAUAGUGAGCGAGUGGGCU